CAGUAGCCGCGGGAAUACGUAGGUGGCAAGCGUUGUCCGGAAUUAUUGGGCGUAAAGCGCGCGCAGGCGGAUCGGUCAGUCUGUCUUAAAAGUUCGGGGCUUAACCCCGUGAUGGGAUGGAAACUGCCAAUCUAGAGUAUCGGAGAGGGAAGUGGAAUUCCUAGUGUAGCGGUGAAAUGCGUAGAUAUUAGGAAGAACACCAGUGGCGAAGGCGACUUUCUGGACGAAAACUGACGCUGAGGCGCGAAAGCCAGGGGAGCGAACGGGAUUAGAUACCCCCGUAGUCCCUGUCUCUUAUACA
rnacentral:rRNA from 1 species